rnacentral:ncRNA from 1 species
AUACUGGGGAGCUUGUAAACAGGCUGAGAGGAAGGUGUGACCUUCGACCCGUAAACCUGAUUUGGAUAAUGCCAACGUAGGGAAAA